CCUACGGGUGGCUGCAGUGGGGAAUAUUGGGCAAUGUAGGCAACUCUGACCCAGCAAUGCCGCGUGAAUGAUGAAGGUCUGCGGAUUGUAAAGUCCUGUGAUGGGGGAUGAACACAAUGACGGUACCACAAUAGCAAGACACGGCUAACUACGUGCCAGCAGCCGCGGUAAUACGGAGGUGGCAAGCGUUAUCCGGAAUGACUGGGCGUAAAGGGUGCGUAGGUGGUUUAGUAAGUUGGCGGUGUAAUGCCGGGGCUCAACCUCGGCGCUACCGCCGAAACUAGUAGACUAGAGUGGAGGAGGAGUAAGUGGAAUUCCUAGUGUAGCGGUGGAAUGCGUAGAUAUUAGGAGGAACAUCAGGGGCGAAGGCGACUUACUGGACUGUAACUGACACUGAGGCACGAAAGCGUGGGGAGCAAACAGGAUUAGAUACCCCAGUAGUC
rnacentral:rRNA from 1 species